rfam:Gossypium arboreum cultivar AKA8401 contig_15790_3, whole genome shotgun sequence.
UAUUAAAAAUUCCAUCUAUAUGUACUAUUAAAAAUUGGCGUAUCCAAAGGAAUAACCAAAUAGUGACAUGGUUUACCACGUGUAUAUCAUUCUGACGUAUAAAGAUUAAUUUUUCAUAUUAAAAAUAGAUGAAAUUUUUAAUU